rnacentral:rRNA from 1 species
GAUGAACGCUGGCGGCGUGCCUAAUACAUGCAAGUCGAGCGAACAGAUGAGGAGCUUGCUCCUCUGACGUUAGCGGCGGACGGGUGAGUAACACGUGGAUAACCUACCUAUAAGACUGGGAUAACUUCGGGAAGCCGGAGCUAAUACCGGAUAAUAUAUUGAACCGCAUGGUUCAAUAGUGAAAGACGGUUUUGCUGUCACUUAUAGAUGGAUCCGCGCCGCAUUAGCUAGUUGGUAAGGUAACGGCUUACCAAGGCAACGAUGCGUAGCCGACCUGAGAGGGUGAUCGGCCACACUGGAACUGAGACACGGUCCAGACUCCUACGGGAGGCAGCAGUAGGGAAUCUUCCGCAAUGGGGGAAAGCCUGACGGAGCAACGCCGCGUGAGUGAUGAAGGUCUUCGGAUCGUAAAACUCUGUUAUUAGGGAAGAACAAAUGUGUAAGUAACUAUGCACGUCUUGACGGUACCUAAUCAGAAAGCCACGGCUAACUACGUG